AGGGACGUAGCUCAGUGGUAGAGCGCAUGCUUAACAUGCAUGAGGUCCUGGGUUCAAUCCUCAGCACCUCCA
rnacentral:tRNA from 1 species